rnacentral:rRNA from 1 species
UGGGGGAAUAUUGCGCAAUGGGGGCAACCCUGACGCAGCCAUGCCGCGUGAAUGAAGAAGGCCUUCGGGUUGUAAAGUUCUUUCGGUGAUGAGGAAGGAGGAUGUUUAAAUAGGGCAUUCAAUUGACGUUAAUCACAGAAGAAGCACCGGCUAACUCCGUGCCAGCAGCCGCGGUAAUACGGAGGGUGCGAGCGUUAAUCGGAAUUACUGGGCGUAAAGCGCACGCAGGCGGUCUGUCAAGUCGGAUGUGAAAUCCCCGGGCUCAACCUGGGAACUGCAUUCGAAACUGGCAGGCUAGAGUCUUGUAGAGGGGGGUAGAAUUCCAGGUGUAGCGGUGAAAUGCGUAGAGAUCUGGAGGAAUACCGGUGGCGAAGGCGGCCCCCUGGACAAAGACUGACGCUCAGGUGCGAAAGCGUGGGGAGCAAACAGGAUUAGAUACCCUGGUAGUCCACGCCGUAAACGAUGUCGACUUGGAGGUUGUUCCCUUGAGGAGUGGCUUCCGGAGCUAACGCGUUAAGUCGACCGCCUGGGGAGUACGGCCGCAAGGUUAAAACUCAAAUGAAUUGACGGGGGCCCGCACAAGCGGUGGAGCAUGUGGUUUAAUUCGAUGC